CACCGCGGUUAUACGAGAGACCCAAGUUGACAGUGCCCGGCGUAAAGAGUGGUUAGGAAAUUCUUCAAAACUAAAGCCGAAUGGCCUCAAGGCUGUUAUACGCACCCGAGGCUUGGAAGUCCAAACACGAAAGUAGCUUUAUAAACCUGAAUCCACGAAAGUUAAGACA
rnacentral:rRNA from 1 species